UACGGGGGGGGCAAGCGUUGUUCGGAAUUACUGGGCGUAAAGGGCUCGUAGGUGGCCAACUAAGUCAGACGUGAAAUCCCUCAGCUUAACUGGGGAACUGCGUCUGAUACUGGAUGGCUUGAGUUUGGGAGAGGGAUGCGGAAUUCCAGGUGUAGCGGUGAAAUGCGUAGAUAUCAGGAGGAACACCUGCGGUGUAGACGGCUUACUGGACCAUAACUGACGCUGAGGCACGAAAGCGUGGGUAGCAAACAGG
rnacentral:rRNA from 1 species